rnacentral:rRNA from 1 species
AUGCACGCUGGCGGCGUGCCUAAUACAUGCCAGUCGAGCGAACGGACGAGAAGCUUGCUUCUCUGAUGUUAGCGGCGGACGGGUGAGUAACACGUGGAUAACCUACCUAUAAGACUGGGAUAACUUCGGGAAACCGUAGCUAAUACCGGAUAAUAUUUUGAACCGCAUGGUUCAAAAGUGAAAGACGGUCUUGCUGUCACUUAUAGAUGGAUCCGCGCUGCAUUAGCUAGUUGGUAAGGUAACGGCUUACCAAGGCAACGAUGCAUAGCCGACCUGAGAGGGUGAGCGGCACCACGGGAAGGGAGACCCGGCCCAGACACCCAGGGGAGGAAGCAGAGGGUAAUCGUCCGAAAGGGGCGAAAGCGGGAAGGACCAACCCCGGGUGAGGGAUGAAGGUCUUGGAAUAGAAAAACUCUUUUAUGGGGAAAAAAAAUAUGUGAAAGAACUGGUCCACAUCUUGACGUGCCAUAAUAAGAAAGCCACGCCAAACUCCGGC